rnacentral:lncRNA from 1 species
GCCUAACUAAAUCUGAGAUACGGCUUCUCCAGGAAGCUACGUGAGAGCAGCUUUUAGGAGAAGCCGGUUCUAAAAACCAAAAAGAACGCACCCUUAAUCCAACUAGGACUAACACUCAAGUUUGAUUAAUUUCCAACAAACUCUUCCUAAUCCAAACUUGUCUAUUCAUCAACUCGACCAAAUCAACUAAACGCAUGUUUCUUUACUCCCAGCCACGCUAACAUGUGUAUUACACCGUACAUCUUUAUGGCAACACCGUCCACUCCUAACGCAAAACAUCCACAUGUGACUAAUAACAUAGUCUCAUGCAUGCAGGGAACAUGGCCUCACUAAAGAGACUCAUCGCUGGUUACCACCUCACAAUAGUCUUGAGCUUAAUCUCCUCGUCGAGACACAUAGACGACCUAGACUAGACAAACCUGACCACAUGCAAACUCUACUAGCAUGCUAACAAAAAACAAAAGAAAACAAAACUAAGACAUGACUCUUUAAACUCUUGUCGCUACUCCAACUUUAGAGCAGUGCCGGUCCAUUGUCAAUGUCUCACUCCUACAAAAUACCCCUUCCAUGAACCCUCACUAGUGGCGGUCAUUUUUAUUUGUCACCAGUGGCGGUGACUUUCGUUCAAAAACUCACCGCCACUGGUGCUCGAGCCACUGCGGAUCCCCCAA